AUGGGUGUAGCUCAGUGGAAGAGCGGCGGUCUCCAACACCGUUGACGGGGGUUCGAUUCCUCCCGCCUGUG
rnacentral:tRNA from 1 species